rnacentral:rRNA from 1 species
AAUACCGCAUACGCCCUACGGGGGAAAGAGUUAUCGGGGAUGGAUGAGCCCGCGUUGGAUUAGCUAGUUGGUGGGGUAAAGGCCUACCAAGGCGACGAUCCAUAGCUGGUCUGAGAGGAUGAUCAGCCACAUUGGGACUGAGACACGGCCCAAACUCCUACGGGAGGCAGCAGUGGGGAAUAUUGGACAAUGGGCGCAAGCCUGAUCCAGCCAUGCCGCGUGAGUGAUGAAGGCCCUAGGGUUGUAAAGCUCUUUCACCGGUGAAGAUAAUGACGGUAACCGUGAGAAGAAGCCCCGGCUAACUUCGUGC